CACUUCCCUUCAUUUCAUUGAAUUUGGUUCCGUUGUUUCAUUGCCCCCAACGCGUUGAAAGAUCACAGAUAUUUUAGCCUGAAAAGCCCUAUACGGAUUGACCAUGCAAUGAAUGCUUCCAUCAGGAUGCACAGCCAACUAGUUUGCAUGCCCUUUCCGAAGGACCCUAUAAUGCGGAAUAGGUGGUUGGAGUCCGUUGGUCCCCAGUGGUGGCGAGUAUACUGGUAGCUAGAUAGCUGGUUAUCUGGUUGUGUAUAUUUUGAUAAUCGUUAUCACUAUCAUCGCUAGCUAGCUGGCUAACGUUAGCCUACCUCAAUACAACUCAGAUUUGGCUUGGAAACACGAUAACAUUUCAAAAGACAGCAAAUAAUUAGUAGGAAAAUAUUUUGUCAUGAUUGUGAUGUCGCCAGAUUAACUUUAAAUGCAGUAUAACUUUAGCCAGCUAACUAAGAUUGAAGGGACCACCGUAUUUUGGCAUGCUAACAUUAGCAUUGCUAGUUAUUUUUGACAAACUUUGCUAGUAACAGUAAUGAUAACAUUGCCAUCUCUCUAAAUUAGAUUUGACAACAUCGUAAUAUGGCAAAGUUGUUUCCUACAAAUGAUGUUCAUACUUUAGCAAUGUCAUCGUAUUUCCAUGCAUAUCUAAGUUAGUGUAAUUUAGAUGAAACAGCCACAUUAGGUGCAACCCAUGUCUAGGGGAAAAAAUACAUAUUGUGGUACUAGACAACUCAUUUCUGACUACAGCAGUGUACAAACUAGCAGCAACAAACUCAAACCAACCCAGGGAUAUAGCAAAACAUGUCACAGUUGGUGUGAUAGCGUCAUCAGCCUGAAUCUAAUAGAAUCCUGAGCCAGUCAGUCUACAUCUGGAAAACAUAGAAUUACCUUCACAUCUGAAGUUAAAUAGAAAGCUACUGUUCAACUGAUGUAUAUCUUUUACUGAGACAGGCCCUCAACCACCGGAUGUAGUAUCUCCUGUGAUCACCCCAGGCCUCGGAAGACCUCUUCAACUACAACAGGAAGCAGUCAUACGACCGGGUCACGACCCCUCUUAUAACACCAUGAGUCAAGCGUAGCCCACCCCGUGAGCCUGCAGUGGAAGGUUCCGGUCUCACCGAGGAGAGGAGCAAGGUGCGGAAGGAUCGUCGGGGGAGGAGAGGGAGACCUAGUCAGCACGUCAGAAUGAGGAAAAGAAAGGGAGAGAGAGGAAGAGGAGAGGAAACAUCUGUUAGAUAGCAGCCAUGUAACAUCAUUACACACAAGGCCCACCGGCUCACCUAAUACGGCCACAGCUGGGUCUAAUACAGCCUCCAUCCACAGGGGAAACUACUGUGUGACCCGACAAAGUCAGAACUAUGUACACAUCCAGCCAGGAGGCACCAGGGAGGGAAUGAUGGUGCUGCCUAAGCCCACAAUCGAGACUCAUUGGGGAAGUGUCUGUGCCAGAGCCCCAAGCUUCUGGCCUGAACACGGGGCUGACAUUAUGGGAGCUAUUCUAAUGCUUUUGUUUGACAGCACUUCAUUUUUUGCAUUUUUUGGUUUUUGGACGAGAGGAGAGGCAGUGACCGAGGACAGAGAGGAAGUGACUGAGGAGUGUGAGAGAUAGAUACUGAGAAAGAGAGAGAGUAGUCUGCCGCAUGUGUUGGAUGUUAAUAAGACCGAUUAAUUUAACUGUGUUUUAUUUUAACAAGCAAGUUUUACACUCUCAUUAAACUCUUCUGUAGAGAAUUGGUGAAUGAUGUAACGUUCCUGUGCGAUGUUGAGGUAUUUCUCACUUGCCUUAUCACACGCCGGGUAAUUCUAGAACUAUCUGCUCCUUUACAGCAAUAGGCAUCCUUUUUAACAAAUGAGCCAGGUUUCUUCUGUUGGAUUUAUGCCUUGCCAAACUCUGGGAUUUGUCCCUGUGCCAGCUGUUUUCUUAGCUGAGGUAAAUCUCGAUAAAUCAAUAGGAGUUCAUCUGCUGAGAAGACUGUGUGCUGGCCUGUUUAAAAGGCCACUUCAUCUCUAUUGGUUCCAGAGCAUGAAUCAAGGCCUCAAUGAAGAAUCAACAGAGAAGUGAGUCAGAUAGCAGACUCUGUGUUCCUGAGCAAUGAUAUGGGAAACAGAGAAGUCCCAUAUUUUAAAGGGGUAUGGUAUAGUGCUGGACCCAAUAUCCCAGGUAUGCAUCUUUUUUUUCAGGAGGUCGUUUCAACUCCGACAUAAAACCAUUCUUCCUCUAGCACUGUCUCAAUUAGGCAGAUGGUCUAUGUGUCUGUAUGGUAAGCUGAUCGGAAUGCUGUGUUAUUUGACAUGUAACCCUAGCUUCACCGCCACAGAGAACGAGGACGUUUCGAGGUGAUAUAGAGCAGGAGAUGGGUGCAAAUCAUUUCUAUGAUCGCUCGUGUGUCAUGCAGGGUAAGGCCUUGGAAUUGCGUGCAUUCUGGACUCUAUGAUUCAUACUGAAAGAUCUCACCUUCCGUACAUUGGCAAGAUGUCACAUAACCUGUCGCUGGGGAUGAGGUAAGACCAGUCUGAGUUCAAAAUGGACUCCUUCAGAUGUCUCCUCUCUAUUGCAACAUAUUCAAAGAGUGUCUUCGUACUGUAGAGAAAGGUCAAAGGUGCUGAUUUGAUAUUGUGUGCGUCAAUCACUCCUCUAUACUGUAUGUCAGGGGCAGAGGGAGGGAUUGGAGGAGGGCGGGACUGGCCCAGUGGGCUGUAUGUAUAUAGGCUGGUCAAGCUGAAAUCUAAUGAGGAGCAGAAGAGGGCAAAAAAGGAGAAGGAGAGGACCUGCCCACAGGUUCUCGGGGCUUGAACCCAGCACGACCCCAGUGUGUUGACACAGGUUGCCCUCCUGCCCCUUUAACCCCCCCCCUUUGGGAAUUAUUGAAUAGGGUUACCCAGUUUCAGUUGCAGCAUAAGGAGACAGUUAUGAUUCAAUCCAGUUGUAUCCUAAUUAAAUGAUCAAAUAAGAUAUGUUUAAUUUUCAUUCAUCAUGUUUUGUUUGGUCAAAUCAAUGGGGUAAUAUUAUAAAGAGAAUGAAGGUAGACAGAAGAUGGUUGAGUUUUUGAUAUACACAACCGUUCAGAAGUUUGGCGUCACUUAGAAAUUUCCUUGUUUUUGAAAGAAAAGUUAUUUUAAUGGACCAAAAAAAAAGCAUCAAAUUGAUCAGAAAUACAGGGUAGACCUUGUUAAUGUUGUAAAUGACUAUUGUAGCUGGAAACGGCAGAUUUUUUAUGGAAUAUCUACAUGGGCGUACAGCGACCCAUUAUCAGCAACCAUCACUCCUGUGUUCCAAUGGCACGUUGUGUUAGCUAAUCCAAGUUUAUCAUUUUAAAAGGCUAAUUGAUAAUUACAAAAUACUUUUGCAAUUAUGUUUGCACAGCUGAAAACUGUUGUUCUGAUUAAAGAAGCAAUCAAACUA